rnacentral:tRNA from 1 species
GGCGGGGUAGCUCAGUUGGUUAGAGCAACGGCUUCAUAAGCCGUGUGUCGGCGGUUCAAGUCCGCCCCCCGCUA